UUUAAAUUGAGAGUUUGAUCCUGGCUCAGGAUGAACGCUGGUGGCGUGCCUAAUACAUGCAAGUCGUACGCUAGCCGCUGAAUUGAUCCUUCGGGUGAAGUGAGGCAAUGACUAGAGUGGCGAACUGGUGAGUAACACGUAAGAAACCUGCCCUUUAGUGGGGGAUAACAUUUGGAAACAGAUGCUAAUACCGCGU
rnacentral:rRNA from 1 species